rnacentral:rRNA from 1 species
GGAUGAGUCUGCGGCCGAUUAGGUAGUUGGUUAGGUAAUGGCUUACCAAGCCGUUGAUCGGUACGGGUUGUGAGAGCAAGAGCCCGGAGAUGGAACCUGAGACAAGGUUCCAGGCCCUACGGGGUGCAGCAGGCGCGAAACCUCCGCAAUGUGAGAAAUCGCGACGGGGGGAUCCCAAGUGCCAUUCUUAACGGGAUGGCUUUUCAUUAGUGUAAAGAGCUUUUGGAAUAAGAGCUGGGCAAGACCGGUGCCAGCCGCCGCGGUAACACCGGCAGCUCUAGUGGUAACAAUUUUUAUUGGGCCUAAAGCGUCCGUAGCCGGUUUAAUAAGUCUCUGGUGAAAUCCUGCAGCUUAACUGUGGGAAUUGCUGGAGAUACUAUUAGACUUGAGACCGGGAGAGGUUAGAGGUACUCCCAGGGUAGAGGUGAAAUUCUGUAAUCCUGGGAGGACCGCCUGUUGCGAAGGCGUCUAACUGGAACGGUUCUGACGGUGAGGGACGAAAGUUAGGGGCGCGAACCGGAUUAGAUACCCGGGUAGUCCUAACUGUAAACGAUGCGGACUUGGUGUUGGGGUGGCUUUGAGCUGCUUCAGUGCCGAAGGGAAGCUGUUAAGUCCGCCGCCUGGGAAGUACGGUCGCAAGACUGAAACUUAA